UAGAAAAUAGUGUAAAGGAAGCACUAGGGGUUUUGAUCUCCUGAGCUUGGGUUCGAGUCCCUUUUUUCUAG
rnacentral:tRNA from 1 species